rnacentral:piRNA from 1 species
UGCAAUGAGACUAGCCUCGUGGGUGCA